GACAGAGGGUGCGAACGUUGUUCGGAAUUACUGGGCGUAAAGCGCGUGUAGGCGGCAACGCAAGUCGGGCGUGAAGUCCCACGGCUCAACCGUGGAAGUGCACUCGAAACUGCGUAGCUAGAGUCCUGGAGAGGAAGGUGGAAUGCUUGGUGUAGAGGUGAAAUUCGUAGAUAUCAAGCGGAACACCGGUGGCGAAGGCGGCCUUCUGGACAGUGACUGACGCUGAGACGCGAAAGCGUGGGGAGCAAACAGG
rnacentral:rRNA from 1 species